rnacentral:rRNA from 1 species
GAUGAACGCUGGCGGCGUGCCUAAUACAUGCAAGUAGAACGCUGAAGGAGGAGCUUGCUCUUCUGGAUGAGUUGCGAACGGGUGAGUAACGCGUAGGUAACCUGCCUGGUAGCGGGGGAUAACUAUUGGAAACGAUAGCUAAUACCGCAUGACAACAGUUAUUGCAUGAUAACUGUUUAAAAGGGGCAACUGCUCCACUACCAGAUGGACCUGCGUUGUAUUAGCUAGUUGGUGAGGUAACGGCUCACCAAGGCGACGAUACAUAGCCGACCUGAGAGGGUGAUCGGCCACACUGGGACUGAGACACGGCCCAGACUCCUACGGGAGGCAGCAGUAGGGAAUCUUCGGCAAUGGACGGAAGUCUGACCGAGCAACGCCGCGUGAGUGAAGAAGGUUUUCGGAUCGUAAAGCUCUGUUGUAAGAGAAGAACGAGUGUGAGAGUGGAAAGUUCACAAUGUGACGGUAUCUUAACAGAAAGGGACGGCUAACUACGUG